AUGGUUAACCAGCUUAGGCCGCUGCUCUCAGAGUUGAUAUCGGAGAACCAAAGUGCUUUUAUCCCGGGCCGGCUUAUCUCGGAUAAUUCUAUCAUUGCCUUUGAGUGCAUUCAUCACAUACAAAAUUUGAAGGGAAACAGUAAUGAUGCGUGUGCAUACAAGCUGGAUUUGUCGAAGGCCUAUGAUCGUGUUGAUUGGGACUUCUUGGAGAAGGCGUUAAACAAAUGGGGGUUCUCAGAUCAAUGGAUUUCUUGGAUUAUGUCAUGCGUGAGAUCAGUACGAUAUUCUGUCAAGUUAAAUGGGAAGUUGUUGGAGGCUUUUACACCUUCGAGAGGACUUCGACAAGGUGACCCAUUGUCUCCUUUCUUAUUUCUCUUUGUUGCUGAUGCUCUUUCUGCUCUCCUGUCAAAAACAGUGAAUGAAGGAAGCUUGAGAGGAGUGACCACCUGUGCACCGGUGAUUUCUCACCUGUGA
rnacentral:rRNA from 1 species